AGCUUAUCCCAACAAUUCUGAAAGAAAAAGAAGCAUUUGAUAAGUUAGUCUUAAAAAUUGUGAAAAAUGUUUCUUCUUCCCGCUGAAAUUUGCUGAGAUUUCGGAAUCAAAGUGAUGAUUGGCACAAAUACAGUGCAAGCAGGCAACAGAAUGUGCCCUAAAAUAACUAGUAAUGGCUGCUUUGGAAAAUGAGUAAAUAUUUAAACAAUGAUAAAACAAAUAACUUGUCAAUAAUUGUUGAAGUGAACAGCAAGAAUGGAGUAAAAACAAUUCCUGUUACUUCAUUCUUGUAAACAAAGACCAACAUGUUCUCUACUGCGCCCCCUGCCUUCUACGGUCCUCAAAACACGUUGAGAUCGAUAAACAAGUGGAUUUAAACCCCGAGUAGAUGCUCAUAUUGAUCUCUCACGGCCUGACAGUCAGCUCUUCUGCUUAAUAACUACUUAAAGCUGUCCAAACCAAAAAUUACUAAACAAAAGCCAUUAUUAAUACUAUGAUCAUUGUAGACAAAGCUCGUUACCUAAGCACUUAAUUUAAAUAAUGAUUUCCGCUUUUCCUCUUUUUAAUGUGCAAAUUUAAAAAUAAUUCAAACAACAUUCUUACAUAAAUGUAGCGUUGGCAGUGACGUGAAUACGUAUAGAAAUCACACAAGUGAUAGAGAAUAAAGAAAUCCUCCUCAACUUGAUGUCAAAUUCAACUUUCUGUGUGAGCGUUAACAUGAAAACGUUGGUUUGCUAAAUGAAACGUACAAAUUAUAAUUUUAUUAAUUUAAUUAUUGUAUAUUCUAAAUUGGAAUAUGUUCUUCUUUAGUUGGUUCUGCAUGUCCACUGUAAGCCAGACAAUUACGUCAUGGAAAUGUAAGUCCAGCAGGAGGAAUGGGCGAAACAAAAGGAAACGUACGAAGAGAGGAAAAGAGUGGGUUGAAAAAAAAAAUGGACAAAACAAUAUAUACAUCUAUGCAUUGAGUAGUUAACAUUUACAAUAAACGGGUUUGUUAAAAGUGGGAAAAACGAAAUAGCCUAGCUAGCUGUCAAAAAUAAAAGUUGUUCUGUUAAUAAAC